rnacentral:lncRNA from 1 species
CGGUGAGCUGCAGGCUGCGCGCGUGGUGGAGGAAGGGCAGCAAGCUAACACGGUCGACGGCCGGCUGUCGGGAGCAGCAUCAUCGUCGGGCAAAGGUGUGGCCUUCUUCCUCGGCGUCUUUCUCAGGCAAGCCCUUUGAAUCCCGGUCGGAUUCAGCCAGCCCAGGAUGGCGUCUUUCUCAAGCGAAUUCGCUCUUUUUUCUAUCAUAUAGUCAGAUCUUGGCCAGUGCUCGCUCGCCGUUCUAAAAAUUGAGCCGCUUCGAUUCGUGCUGCCCACGAGGGACGAGG